rnacentral:rRNA from 1 species
ACACAUGCAGUCGAGCGGAUGAAGAGAGCUUGCUCUCUGAUUCAGCGGCGGACGGGUGAGUAAUGCCUAGGAAUCUGCCUGGUAGUGGGGGACAACGUCUCGAAAGGGACGCUAAUACCGCAUACGUCCUACGGGAGAAAGCAGGGGACCUUCGGGCCUUGCGCUAUCAGAUGAGCCUAGGUCGGAUUAGCUAGUUGGUGAGGUAAUGGCUCACCAAGGCGACGAUCCGUAACUGGUCUGAGAGGAUGAUCAGUCACACUGGAACUGAGACACGGUCCAGACUCCUACGGGAGGCAGCAGUGGGGAAUAUUGGACAAUGGGCGAAAGCCUGAUCCAGCCAUGCCGCGUGUGUGAAGAAGGUCUUCGGAUUGUAAAGCACUUUAAGUUGGGAGGAAGGGCAGUAAGCGAAUACCUUGCUGUUUUGACGUUACCGACAGAAUAAGCACCGGCUAACUCUGUGCCAGCAGCCGCGGUAAUACAGAGGGUGCAAGCGUUAAUCGGAAUUACUGGGCGUAAAGCGCGCGUAGGUGGUUUGUUAAGUUGAAUGUGAAAUCCCCGGGCUCAACCUGGGAACUGCAUCCNAAACUGGCAAGCUAGAGUAGGGCAGAGGGUGGUGGAAUUUCCUGUGUAGCGGUGAAAUGCGUAGAUAUAGGAAGGAACACCAGUGGCGAAGGCGACCACCUGGGCUCAUACUGACACUGAGGUGCGAAAGCGUGGGGGAGCAAACAGGA